AGCCCCUGGUAAUGAGCAAAGCAACACCUCAUUGGUGGUGUUGCUCUUAUAUCAGUCAAGGGCAGAGCAGAUGACAGUCCUUUGUUCAUCCUAGCUUGGUACCUGGGUUGGUGUGCCUAGGGCACAUUA
rnacentral:snoRNA from 1 species